CCUUGUUGCUGCACCGGCUGCAGAUGAUCUCGGAGACUGGCAAUGCUGCUCGUGGUGACAACCUCAUGCUUCCUGUAGUGAGUGACCCACUUUCCC